rnacentral:rRNA from 1 species
UAGGUGGCAAGCGUUAUCCGGAUUUACUGGGUGUAAAGGGUGUGUAGGCGGAGAGGCAAGUCAGAUGUGAAAAUUACGGGCUUAACCCGUGAACUGCGUCUGAAACUGCAUCCCUUGAGAGUCGGAGAGGUAACUGGAAUUCCAUGUGUAGCGGUGAAAUGCGUAGAUAUAUGGAGGAACACCGGUGGCGAAGGCGGGUUACUGGACGACAACUGACGCUGAGACACGAAAGCGUGGGGAGCAAA